rnacentral:piRNA from 1 species
UGCUUCACCAGUCACGAAUCU